rnacentral:rRNA from 1 species
GACGAACGCUGGCGGCGUGCCUAAUACAUGCAAGUCGAGCGAAUCAAUGGGAGCUUGCUCCCUGAGAUUAGCGGCGGACGGGUGAGUAACACGUGGGUAACCUGCCUGUAAGACUGGGAUAACUUCGGGAAACCGGAGCUAAUACCGGAUACGUUCUUUUCUCGCAUGAGAAGAGAUGGAAAGAUGGUUCUGCUAUCACUUACAGAUGGACCCGCGGCGCAUUAGCUAGUUGGUGAGGUAACGGCUCACCAAGGCGACGAUGCGUAGCCGACCUGGGAGGGUGAUCGGCCACACUGGGACUGAGACACGGCCCAGACUCCUACGGGAGGUAGCAGUAGGGAAUCUUCCGCAAUGGACGAAAGUCUGACGGAGCAACGCCGCGUGAGCGAAGAAGGCCUUCGGGUCGUAAAGCUCUGUUGUUAGGGAAGAACAAGUACGGGAGUAACUGCUCGUACCUUGACGGUACCUAACCAGAAAGCCACGGCUAACUACGUGCCAGCCGCCGCCGUAA